AUGUGCCUUCCACAACUUUUACUUCUAGUGUUCAUGGUAUGUUCAGACCAAGUUAGUGCGAUAUCAUGGUUACACAAUCCAUAUACUUGGGAUAUAGCUCUAUCCGAGAAACAACCAUCCUCGUAUAGCAGCCCGCUACUCAUGAAGGCUGGCAUGAAGAGUAAGAUAACCCAUUAUGCAACCUAUACGUCAAACACGUUCCAUGAAUCUGUGCUUACCGGUGGCAUGGCAACAUUUAAUAUAUGGAUUCUGCAAAAUAAGAAGGACCAAAUAAGCGCGUCAGCAAUAUGGGUAUCAAAUACAGAAGGUGAUGACGAUAGUACCACCAAUACCGCGGUAGCUGGAUUAGAAGUUAACCCAUCUAGGUAUGGUGAUAGCAAAACACAUUUCUUUAUGGAAUGGACGGCUGAUGGGUAUAAAUCGACUGGAUGCAUAAACUUGGAAUGUGAUGGUUUUGUGCCUGUAAAUUAUGCCCCUAUUACUCCAGGAGAUACUAUAGAGGCAACAGGUGGAAAAACUAAGGUCACUAUCAAGAUAUUCAAGAACAAAGCAGACGGUGACUGGUGGCUGCACUUUGGAUAUGAUAAUCGAAACCUUACCCGUGUUGGGUAUUGGCCCAAAAGUAUUUUUAAAAGUUUGGCAGACCAUGCAAACUACAUAAUUUGGGGUGGUUUCACUGCAUCAUAUGCUGGGGAUGCUAGUCCUGCAAUGGGGAAUGGACACUGGCCCGGAGAAAAAUCCGCAUAUGUUCGAGAUAUCAAAUACGUUAACACUGAUGGCCAAGGUGACUGGGAGCCUGCUCCAGGCCCCAAUGGCCUUCGUGCUUAUAUAUCUCAUGAGAAAUGCUAUGGACUAAGCCCAUAUCGAAAUGAUAUGUUCUAUUAUGGAGGACCUGGAGGUUGUACUAAGUAA
rnacentral:rRNA from 1 species